rnacentral:rRNA from 1 species
GACGAACGCUGGCGGCGUGCUUAACACAUGCAAGUCGAACGAAGUGGCGAACGGGUGAGUAACGCGUAAUCAACCUGCCCUUCAGAGGGGGACAACAGUUGGAAACGACUGCUAAUACCGCAUACUGCGGGAGGGGAUUGCGGCUGAUUGGCUAGUAGGAGGGGUAACGGCCCACCAAGGCGAUGGUCAGUAGCCGGGCUGAGAGGAUGAACGUGCAAAUUGGGAAUGAGACACGGCCCAGAAUCCUACGGGAGGCAGCAGUGGGGAAUCUUCCGCAAUGGACGAAAGUCUUACUGAGCAACGCCGCGUGAGUUAUGACGGCCUUCGGGUUGUAAAGCUCUGUUAAUCGGGACGCGGUACCGGAAUAGAAAGCCACGGCUAACUACGUGCCAGCAGCCGCGGUAAUAC